rnacentral:rRNA from 1 species
AGUGAACGCUGGCGGUAGGCCUAACACAUGCAAGUCGAACGGCAGCACAGUAAGAGCUUGCUCUUACGGGUGGCGAGUGGCGGACGGGUGAGGAAUACAUCGGAAUCUACUUUUUCGUGGGGGAUAACGUAGGGAGACUGCUGCUAAUGCCUCAUACGAUCAAAGGGUGGAAUCAGGGGUUCUUGGUACCUUGCGCGAUUGAAUGGGCCGCUGUCGGAUUAGCUAGUUGGCGGGGGAAAGGACCACCAAGGCGACGAUCCGUAGCUGGUCUGAGAGGUUGAUCAGCAACACUGGAACUGAGACACGGUCCAGACUCCUACGGGAGGCAGCAGUGGGGAAUAUCGGACAAUGGGCGCAAGCCUGAUCCAGCAAUACCGCGUGGGUGAAGAAGGCCUUCGGGUUGUAAAGCCCUUUUGUUGGGAAAGAAAAGCAGCAGGUUAAUACGCCGCUGUUCUGACGGUACCCAAAGAAUAAGCACCGGCUAACUUCGUG